AUAGCGAGUGCAUCAAGUGCUGCUCGUCGAGGAAGGCGUGGUCGCGGUCAGCGGUGAGAGAGUCGAGGUGGAUGCCGAGAUACUGGAAGAUCGGGGUCAGGAGGCUCCCAACUGUCUCCUUCUUGUUCUUGCCCUUGCUGGUGAAGGGCUUCUUCUUCAGCUCCACCAAAUGCGCGGCAAAGACAGCUCCGAAGUUCGGCGGGCUUACCUCGCCAUCCUCGUCCAACUCAACCAAGUCCACCACGCCGUUCACUGCGCAGAAAAGCAGUGUGAGCUCCUUUAUUCGGACCUUGUUGGGCUCCAUCUUGCAAACAAGUGUGUUUGCAAGGAUCCGUAGUAAGUAGCGAAGUGCAGGAUGGCG
rnacentral:lncRNA from 1 species